rnacentral:rRNA from 1 species
GGUUAAGUGACUAAGCGUACACGGUGGAUGCCUAGGCAGUCAGAGGCGAUGAAGGACGUGCUAAUCUGCGAUAAGCGUCGGUGAGCUGAUAUGAAGCAUUAUUAGCCGGCGAUGUCCGAAUGGGGAAACCCAGUGCAAUUCGUUGCACUAUCGUUAAGUGAAUCCAUAGCUUAACGAGGCGAACCAGGGGAACUGAAACAUCUAAGUACCCUGAGGAAAAGAAAUCAACCGAGAUUCCCCUAGUAGCGGCGAGCGAACGGGGAGCAGCCCAGAACCUGAAUCAGUUUGUGCAUUAGUGGAAGCGUCUGGAAAGUCGCGCGAUACCGGGUGAUAGCCCCGUACACGAAGGUGCGCAGCUGUGAGUUCGAUGAGUAGGGCGGGACACGUGUUAUCCUGUCUGAAUAUGGGGGACCAUCCUCCAAGGCUAAAUACUCCUGACUGACCGAUAGUGAACCAGUACCGUGAGGGAAAGGCGAAAAGAACCCCGGCGAGGGGAGUGAAAUAGAACCUGAAACCGUGUACGUACAAGCAGUGGGAGCACCCUUUGGGGUGUGACUGCGUACCUUUUGUAUAAUGGGUCAGCGACUUAUAUUUUGUAGCAAGGUUAACCGAAUAGGGGAGCCGUAGGGAAACCGAGUCUUAACUGGGCGUUGAGUUGCAAGGUAUAGACCCGAAACCCGGUGAUCUAGCCAUGGGCAGGUUGAAGGUUGGGUAACACUAACUGGAGGACCGAACCGACUAAUGUUGAAAAAUUAGCGGAUGACUUGUGGCUGGGGGUGAAAGGCCAAUCAAACCGGGAGAUAGCUGGUUCUCCCCGAAAGCUAUUUAGGUAGCGCCUCGUGAACUCAUCUUCGGGGGUAGAGCACUGUUUCGGCUAGGGGGUCAUCCCGACUUACCAACCCGAUGCAAACUGCGAAUACCGAAGAAUGUUAUCACGGGAGACACACGGCGGGUGCUAACGUCCGUCGUGAAGAGGGAAACAACCCAGACCGCCAGCUAAGGUCCCAAAGUCAUGGUUAAGUGGGAAACGAUGUGGGAAGGCAUAGACAGCCAGGAUGUUGGCUUAGAAGCAGCCAUCAUUUAAAGAAAGCGUAAUAGCUCACUGGUCGAGUCGGCCUGCGCGGAAGAUGUAACGGGGCUAAACCAUGCACCGAAGCUGCGGCAGCGACACUAUGUGUUGUUGGGUAGGGGAGCGUUCUGUAAGCCUGUGAAGGUGACCUGUGAGGGUUGCUGGAGGUAUCAGAAGUGCGAAUGCUGACAUAAGUAACGAUAAAGCGGGUGAAAAGCCCGCUCGCCGGAAGACCAAGGGUUCCUGUCCAACGUUAAUCGGGGCAGGGUAAGUCGACCCCUAAGGCGAGGCCGAAAGGCGUAGUCGAUGGGAAACAGGUUAAUAUUCCUGUACUUGGUGUUAUUGCGAAGGGGGGACGGAGAAGGCUAGGCCGGCCGGGCGACGGUUGUCCCGGUUUAAGCGUGUAGGUGUGAUGACCUGGCAAAUCCGGUCAUCUUCAACACUGAGGCGUGAUGACGAGGCACUACGGUGCUGAAGUGGUUGAUGCCCUGCUUCCAGGAAAAGCCUCUAAGCUCUAGAUAACACUGAAUCGUACCCCAAACCGACACAGGUGGUCAGGUAGAGAAUACCAAGGCGCUUGAGAGAACUCGGGUGAAGGAACUAGGCAAAAUGGUGCCGUAACUUCGGGAGAAGGCACGCUGGCAUGUAGGUGAAGUCCCUCGCGGAUGGAGCUGAAGCCAGUCGAAGAUACCAGCUGGCUGCAACUGUUUAAUAAAAACACAGCACUCUGCAAACACGAAAGUGGACGUAUAGGGUGUGACGCCUGCCCGGUGCUGGAAGGUUAAUUGAUGGGGUCAGCCGCAAGGCGAAGCUCUUGAUCGAAGCCCCAGUAAACGGCGGCCGUAACUAUAACGGUCCUAAGGUAGCGAAAUUCCUUGUCGGGUAAGUUCCGACCUGCACGAAUGGCGUAAUGAUGGCCAGGCUGUCUCCACCCGAGACUCAGUGAAAUUGAACUCGCUGUGAAGAUGCAGUGUACCCGCGGCAAGACGGAAAGACCCCGUGAACCUUUACUAUAGCUUGACACUGAACAUUGAACCUUGAUGUGUAGGAUAGGUGGGAGGCUUUGAAGUGUGGACGCCAGUCUGCAUGGAGCCGACCUUGAAAUACCACCCUUUAAUGUUUGAUGUUCUAACCUGGUCCCGUGAUCCGGGAUAGGGACAGUGUCUGGUGGGUAGUUUGACUGGGGCGGUCUCCUCCCAAAGCGUAACGGAGGAGCACGAAGGUUAGCUAAUCCUGGUCGGACAUCAGGAGGUUAGUGCAAAGGCAUAAGCUAGCUUGACUGCGAGAGUGACGGCUCGAGCAGGUGCGAAAGCAGGUCUUAGUGAUCCGGUGGUUCUGAAUGGAAGGGCCAUCGCUCAACGGAUAAAAGGUACUCCGGGGAUAACAGGCUGAUACCGCCCAAGAGUUCAUAUCGACGGCGGUGUUUGGCACCUCGAUGUCGGCUCAUCACAUCCUGGGGCUGAAGUAGGUCCCAAGGGUAUGGCUGUUCGCCAUUUAAAGUGGUACGCGAGCUGGGUUUAGAACGUCGUGAGACAGUUCGGUCCCUAUCUGCCGUGGGCGUUGGAAGAUUGAGAGGGGCUGCUCCUAGUACGAGAGGACCGGAGUGGACGCACCGCUGGUGUUCGGGUUGUGAUGCCAAUUGCAUUGCCCGGUAGCUACGUGCGGAAGAGAUAAGCGCUGAAAGCAUCUAAGCGCGAAACUUGCCUCGAGAUGAGUCUUCCCUUGGACCUUGAGUCCACUAAAGGAACGUUUAAGACUAAGACGUUGAUAGGCUGGGUGUGUAAGCGUAGCGAUACGUUGAGCUAACCAGUACUAAUGAUCCGUGAGGCUUAACCUU